AAUAAGUACAGUUUUACACUAUUUACAUUUGACCGUUCGUCUUAUUUGAAAAAUUUUUAUGAUUAGUAUUUUUAUUGCUAUUAGAUGAUAAAACAUAAAUAGUACUUUAUAUGUGACUAAAUAUUUUUAAUUUUUUUACAAAUUUUUUAAAUAAGACGGACGGUCAAACGUUAGGCACGAAAAUCCAUGGCUGCACUUAUU
rnacentral:pre_miRNA from 1 species